GAUGAACGCUGGCUGCGUGCCUAAUACAUGCAAGUCGAGCGAACGGACGAGAAGCUUGCUUCUCUGAUGUUAGCGGCGGACGGGUGAGUAACACGUGGAUAACCUACCUAUAAGACUGGGAUAACUUCGGGAAACCGGAGCUAAUACCGGAUAAUAUUUUGAACCGCAUGGUUCAAAAGUGAAAGACGGUCUUGCUGUCACUUAUAGAUGGAUCCGCGCUGCAUUAGCUAGUUGGUAAGGUAACGGCUUACCAAGGCAACGAUGCAUAGCCGACCUGAGAGGGUGAUCGGCCACACUGGAACUGAGACACGGUCCAGACUCCUACGGGAGGCAGCAGUAGGGAAUCUUCCGCAAUGGGCGAGAGCCUGACGGAGCAACGCCGCGUGAGUGAUGAAGGUCUUCGGAUCGUAAAACUCUGUUAUUAGGGAAGAACAUAUGUGUAAGUAACUGUGCACAUCUUGACGGUACCUAAUCAGAAAGCCACGGCUAACUACGUGCCAGCAGCCGCGGUAAUACGUAGGUGGCAAGCGUUAUCCGGAAUUAUUGGGCGUAAAGCGCGCGUAGGCGGUUUUUUAAGUCUGAUGUGAAAGCCCACGGCUCAACCGUGGAGGGUCAUUGGAAACUGGAAAACUUGAGUGCAGAAGAGGAAAGUGGAAUUCCAUGUGUAGCGGUGAAAUGCGCAGAGAUAUGGAGGAACACCAGUGGCGAAGGCGACUUUCUGGUCUGUAACUGACGCUGAUGUGCGAAAGCGUGGGGAUCAAACAGGAUUAGAUACCCUGGUAGUCCACGCCGUAAACGAUGAGUGCUAAGUGUUAGGGGGUUUCCGCCCCUUAGUGCUGCAGCUAACGCAUUAAGCACUCCGCCUGGGGAGUACGACCGCAGGGUUGAAACUCAAAGGAAUUGACGGGGACCCGCACAAGCGGUGGAGCAUGUGGUUUAAUUCGAAGCAACGCGAAGAACCUUACCAAAUCUUGACAUCCUUUGACAACUCUAGAGAUAGAGCUUUCCCCUUCGGGGGACAACGUGACAGGUGGUGCAUGGUUGUCGUCAGCUCGUGUCGUGAGAUGUUGGGUUAAGUCCCGCAACGAGCGCAACCCUUAAGCUUAGUUGCCAUCAUUAAGUUGGGCACUCUAAGUUGACUGCCGGUGACAAACCGGAGGAAGGUGGGGAUGACGUCAAAUCAUCAUGCCCCUUAUGAUUUGGGCUACACACGUGCUACAAUGGACAAUACAAAGGGCAGCGAAACCGCGAGGUCAAGCAAAUCCCAUAAAGUUGUUCUCAGUUCGGAUUGUAGUCUGCAACUCGACUACAUGAAGCUGGAAUCGCUAGUAAUCGUAGAUCAGCAUGCUACGGUGAAUACGUUCCCGGGUCU
rnacentral:rRNA from 1 species